rnacentral:lncRNA from 1 species
CUGCUUUCAGAACAAGUUCUGAUGUUCGGACCUGACCUUGACGAGCGUGCACCUUGUCAUUCUCCUGGAGAAGAACUCUU